rnacentral:rRNA from 1 species
GAUGAACGCUGGCGGCGUGCCUAAUACAUGCAAGUCGAGCGAACGGACGAGAAGCUUGCUUCUCUGAUGUUAGCGGCGGACGGGUGAGUAACACGUGGAUAACCUACCUAUAAGACUGGGAUAACUUCGGGAAACCGGAGCUAAUACCGGAUAAUAUUUUGAACCGCAUGGUUCAAAAGUGAAAGACGGUCUUGCUGUCACUUAUAGAUGCAUCCGCGCUGCAUUAGCUAGUUGGUAAGGUAACGGCUUACCAAGGCAACGAUGCAUAGCCGACCUGAGAGGGUGAUCGGCCACACUGGAACUGAGACAGGGUCCAGACUCCUACGGGAGGCAGCAGUAGGGAAUCUGACGCAAUGGGCGAAAGCCUGACGGAGCAACGCCGCGUGAGUGAUGAAGGUCUUCGGAUCGUAAAACUCUGUUAUUAGGGAAGAACAGAUGUGUAAGUAACUGUGCACAGAUUGACGGUACCUAAUCAGAAAGCCACGGCUAACUACGUG